rnacentral:rRNA from 1 species
CGUAGGACGCAAGCGUUAUCCGGAGUUACUGGGCGUAAAGCGCGGGCAGGCGGCUCGUCAAGUGGGAUGUGAAAGCGCUCAGCUUAACUGGGCGAUGCAUUCCAAACUGAUGGGCUGGAGGGCAGUAGAGGUAGGCGGAAUUCCGGGUGGAGUGGUGAAAUGCGUAGAGAUCCGGAGGAACACCAGAGGCGAAGGCGGCCUACUGGGCUGCACCUGACGCUGAGCCGCGAAAGCCAGGGGAGCGAACGGGAUUAGAAACCCCGGUAGUCCUGGCCGUAAACAAUGUUAACUGGGUGUCGGGGGGGUAUCCCUUCGGCGCCGAAGCCAACGCGAUAAGUUAACCGCCUGGGGAGUACGGCCGCAAGGCUA